rnacentral:rRNA from 1 species
AACGAACGCUGGCGGCAUGCCUAACACAUGCAAGUCGAACGAGAUCUUCGGAUCUAGUGGCGCACGGGUGCGUAACGCGUGGGAAUCUGCCCUUUGCUUCGGAAUAACAGUUAGAAAUGACUGCUAAUACCGGAUGAUGUCUUCGGACCAAAGAUUUAUCGGCAAAGGAUGAGCCCGCGUAGGAUUAGGUAGUUGGUGGGGUAAAGGCCUACCAAGCCGACGAUCCUUAGCUGGUCUGAGAGGAUGAUCAGCACACUGGGACUGAGACACGGCCCAGACUCCUACGGGAGGCAGCAGUGGGGAAUAUUGGACAAUGGGCGAAAGCCUGAUCCAGCAAUGCCGCGUGAGUGAUGAAGGCC